UACGUAGGGUGCGAGCGUUAAUCGGAAUUACUGGGCGUAAAGCGUGCGCAGGCGGUCUGUUAAGACAGAUGUGAAAUCCCCGGGCUCAACCUGGGAACUGCAUUUGUGACUGGCAGGCUAGAGUAUGGCAGAGGGGGGUAGAAUUCCACGUGUAGCAGUGAAAUGCGUAGAGAUGUGGAGGAAUACCGAUGGCGAAGGCAGCCCCCUGGGCCAAUACUGACGCUCAUGCACGAAAGCGUGGGGAGCAAACAGG
rnacentral:rRNA from 1 species